rnacentral:rRNA from 1 species
AGCGAACGCUGGCGGCAGGCCUAACACAUGCAAGUCGAACGAACCCUUCGGGGUUAGUGGCGGACGGGUGAGUAACACGUGGGAACGUGCCUUUAGGUUCGGAAUAACUCAGGGAAACUUGUGCUAAUACCGAAUGUGCCCUUCGGGGGAAAGAUUUGUCGCCUUUAGAGCGGCCCGCGUCUGAUUAGCUAGUUUGUGAGGUAAUGGCUCACCAAGGCUACGAUCAGUAGCUGGUCUGAGAGGAUGACCAGCCACAUUGGGACUGAGACACGGCCCAAACUCCUACGGGAGGCAGCAGUGGGGAAUCUUGCGCAAUGGGCGAAAGCCUGACGCAGCCAUGCCGCGUGGAUGAUGAAGGUCUUAGGAUUGUAAAAUCCUUUCACCGGUGAAGAUAAUGACUGUAGCCGGAGAAGAAGCCCCGGCUAACCUCGUGCCAGCAGCCGCCGUAAUAC